AGCGAACGCUGGCGGCAGGCCUAACACAUGCAAGUCGAACGAACCUUUCGGGGUUAGUGGCGGACGGGUGAGUAACACGUGGGAACGUGCCUUUAGGUUCGGAAUAACUCAGGGAAACUUGUGCUAAUACCGAAUGUGCCCUUCGGGGGAAAGAUUUAUCGCCUUUAGAGCGGCCCGCGUCUGAUUAGCUAGUUGGUUGAGGUAAUGGCUCACCAAGGCGACGAUCAGUAGCUGGUCUGAGAGGAUGAUAAGCCACAUUGGGACUGAGACACGGCCCAAACUCCUACGGGAGGCAGCAGGGGGGAAUCUUGCGAAAUGGGCGAAAGCCUGACGCAGCCAUGCCGCGUGAAUGAUGAAGGUCUUAGGAUUGUAAAAUUCUUUCACCGGGGACGAUAAUGACGGUACCCGGAGAAGAAGCCCCGGCUAACUUCGUG
rnacentral:rRNA from 1 species